AACGAACGCUGGCGGCAGGCUUAACACAUGCAAGUCGAACGCCCCGCCAGGGGAGUGGCAGACGGGUGAGUAACGCGUGGGAACAUACCCUUUUCUACGGAAUAGCUCUGGGAAACUGGAAUUAAUACCGUAUACGCCCUACGGGGGAAAGAUUUAUCGGGGAAGGAUUGGCCCGCGUUGGAUUAGCUAGUUGGUGGGGUAAAGGCCUACCAAGGCGACGAUCCAUAGCUGGUCUGAGAGGAUGAUCGGCCACAUUGGGACUGAGACACGGCCCAAACUCCUACGGGAGGCAGCAGUGGGGAAUAUUGGACAAUGGGCGCAAGCCUGAUCCAGCCAUGCCGCGUGAGUGAUGAAGGCCUUAGGGUUGUAAAGCUCUUUCACCGAUGAAGAUAAUGACGGUAGUCGGAGAAGAAGCCCCGGCUAACUUCGUG
rnacentral:rRNA from 1 species